GGGUCAGUAGGUUGGUCGUGCCACCGGUACGUACUGGUCUCACUGAUUCCUCCUUCCUGAAGAACCGUAAUGCCAUUAAUUUGGUGUUGCGGGGAAACAGGACUGUUACUUUGAAAAAAUUAGAGUGUUUAAAGCAGGCUAACGCUUGAAUACAUUAGCAUGGAAUAAUGAAAUAGGACGACCGAUCCUAUUUUGUUGGUUUCUAGGAUUGACGUA
rnacentral:rRNA from 1 species